rnacentral:lncRNA from 1 species
CCUUCUCCAAGACCAACUUCUCCAAGAGUUGCCUCACCACGAGCCGCUUCGCCAAGAGCUGAAGUUCCAAGAUCCCUUUCGCCAAAGCCUCCUUCUCCAAGAGCUGAAGUUCCUAGAUCCCGUACACCAAAGCCCUCUGAUCGAUCAAAGCCAUCAUCAGCCUCUGCCAAUGCUCCUCCUCUGAGGCCUGCUACUACUCGAGUUCCUUCUCAGAGAGUUACCCCUCCCAGUGUUCCUUCUCCAAGACCAAGUUCACCAAGAGGUGCCUCCCCACAAGCCGUCUCUUUAAAGCCACCUUCUCCAAGAGCAGAGCCACCAACAUCGGACACUCCAAGACCUUCUUCGCCAAAGCUUCCUACUCCAAGAGCAGCUACCCUAAGAGCAGACCCACCAAGAUUGGAUGCUCCAAGAUCCACCACACCUAAACCUCCUUCUCCAAGAGCAGACGCACCAAGAUUGGAUGCUCCAAGACCCACCACACCUAAACCUCCUUCUCCAAGAGCAGACGCUCCAAGAUUGGAUGCUCCAAGACCCACCACGCCUAAGCCCCCUUCUCCAAGAGCAGACGGACCAAGAUUGGAUGCUCCAAGACCCACCACUCCUAAGCCUCCUUCUCCAAGAGCAGACGCAUCAAGACUGGAUGCCCCACGUCCCACUACGCCCAAGCCACAUUCUCCAAGAGCAGACCCAUCAAGAUU